UACGUAGGGUGCAAGCGUUAAUCGGAAUUACUGGGCGUAAAGCGUGCGCAGGCGGUUCUAUAAGACAGAUGUGAAAUCCCCGGGCUCAACCUGGGAACUGCAUUUGUGACGUGUAGAGCUGGAGUGCGGGCAGAGGGGGAUGGAAUUCCGCGUGUAGCAGUGAAAUGCGUAGAUAUGCGGAGGAACACCGAUGGCGAAGGCAAUCCCCUGGGCCUGCACUGACGCUCAUGCACGAAAGCGUGGGGAGCAAACAGG
rnacentral:rRNA from 1 species